AAAUAAAACUUUGCAGAGAGAGUUAACAGGGCGUGAAACCGUUGAUUGGCAAACGAAUCGGAGCCACGAAGUCGUUUCGCUGUUAGUUGGGCGGAGUUCAGUUCGCGCCGAAAGACGCGGGCGUAUUCUCACGCUCAUCCAACUUUGUAAGCGUACACUGCAACCUGUUAGACGAUCAGCUGUGGGCUGAGUGACGUAAAGCGAGCAAUCGCGCUGCGGCACGCAUUGUCUGUUCGCUCGCGGUAGUAGUAGCGCAACUGACUUCGGUCUUUCUGUGUUGCUGGCCGCGUGGCGGGUGAACUACAGCUGAAUACUGACAGGCGAAAUGAAAACCGUUUAAAAACGUUAGAGAAAAUGCAGUUGGCCACAUGGAUGUCUACACGUUCGACUGUUAGGUCUAAGCUUGGCAUUUUUGAAUUCAGACCUGCUUGCUACCAGUGGGGCAACUCCUGGUGCUUGUAUGGCUUCUGUCUAAUCGGGUGUCGACUUGGCUUGGCAUCGUUCGGGCGUGAAUCGAUCGGAUGUUUAUGUGAGCUAAUUCGCAAUUUGAAUUGGCAGUGAGUAGGUCGGCUUUCCCAACGA
rnacentral:rRNA from 1 species